AGAGUUUGAUCCUGGCUCAGGAUGAACACUAGCGGCAGGCUUAACACAUGCAAGUCGAGGGGUAUAUUUCUUCGGAGAUAGAGACCGGCGCACGGGUGCGUAACGCGUAUGCAAUCUACCUUUUACAGAGGGAUAGCCCAGAGAAAUUUGGAUUAAUACCUCAUAGCAUUGCAGGAUGGCAUCAUUCAGCAAUUAAAGUCACAACGGUAAAAGAUGAGCAUGCGUCCCAUUAGCUAGUUGGUAAGGUAACGGCUUACCAAGGCUACGAUGGGUAGGGGUCCUGAGAGGGAGAUCCCCCACACUGGUACUGAGACACGGACCAGACUCCUACGGGAGGCAGCAGUGAGGAAUAUUGGACAAUGGGCGCAAGCCUGAUCCAGCCAUGCCGCGUGCAGGAUGACGGUCCUAUGGAUUGUAAACUGCUUUUAUACGAGAAGAAACACUCCUUCGUGAAGGAGCUUGACGGUAUCGUAAGAAUAAGGAUCGGCUAACUCCGUGCCAGCAGCCGCGGUAAUACGGAGGAUCCAAGCGUUAUCCGGAAUCAUUGGGUUUAAAGGGUCCGUAGGCGGUUUAAUAAGUCAGUGGUGAAAGCCCAUCGCUCAACGGUGGAACGGCCAUUGAUACUGUUAGACUUGAAUUAUUAGGAAGUAACUAGAAUAUGUAGUGUAGCGGUGAAAUGCUUAGAGAUUACAUGGAGUAUCAAUUGCGAAGGCAGGUUACUACUAAUUGAUUGACGCUGAUGGACGAAAGCGUGGGUAGCGAACAGGAUUAGAUACCCUGGUAGUCC
rnacentral:rRNA from 1 species